rnacentral:misc_RNA from 1 species
GUCUAACCACCGGGAUGUUCAUAACCCUUUGUUGUCCGACUCUGUUGCCUCCGGGGCGACCCUGCCUUCGGGCGGGGGCUCCGGGUGGACACUUCAAACUCUUGCGUAACUUUGCAGUCUGAGUAAACUUAAUUAAUAAAUUAAAACUUUUAACAACGGAUCUCUUGGUUCUGGCAUCGAUGAAGAACGCAGCGAAAUGCGAUAAGUAAUGUGAAUUGCAGAAUUCAGUGAAUCAUCGAAUCUUUGAACGCACAUUGCGCCCCCUGGUAUUCCGGGGGGCAUGCCUGUUCGAGCGUCAUUUCACCACUCAAGCCUCGCUUGGUAUUGGGCAACGCGGUCCGCCGCGUGCCUCAAAUCGACCGGCUGGGUCUUCUGUCCCCUAAGCGUUGUGGAAACUAUUCGCUAAAGGGUGUUCGGGAGGCUACGCCGUAAAACAACCCCAUUUCUAAGGUUGACCUCGGAUCAGGUAGGGAUA